GCUGGUGUCCUUUGGCACUUUGGAGCCAAUGGCAAAAACAGCCCUUCCUUGGGGUGGAUGUGGGAGGAGUAUGACUGGCAGCGCAUCCAGUUGAAGACCAUUCCUGAAGCUGUUCCUGAGGCUGGGGUAUUGAAGUCCUGUAAACCUUGAACUGUGAGCACAUGUAUUAAUUGUGGAGCUCAGGACUUCGUUUAUGCAGUUUGGAGAGAUGGAGGGAAAUGAGAAAAGGUGUGUGGGUUCAUGGUCAAGUCCUCCAGCAUCACUGGGUUAGAAAGGAGAUCUGAGACAGACACAGGAAAGGGAACCAGAUUGAAGCUCAAGGAAGGAGACCCCCAGCUCUCUGUGAAGGAUGGGCAUGAGCUGGCAUCGAGUCAGAACAUCUUGUGAAGGUGGGAGAAAAUUGGAGCAUUGGGGCUCCUCGGCCUUUGAAACCCCCUUUGUGUGAGCAAGAACUGGAGCUGUUCUGAAGAGCUCCAUGAGUCUUGCUUUUGUGCUGCCUGUUGAGUCAACAUCACAAGACAAGCCUGGACCCAAUAACACCAGUAUCCCCCUGUUUAAGUCACCUUCCUGCAGCAUGGGGAGUUAAAUCCUUUCCAGGUGGAGGAGGAACUUUUAUUUCUCCUAUCAUGGAUUCAUCAUUGUGAAUACCAGCGUUCUAGAACUCUGUCAGAUGAUGAAAUGAAUCUACUACUGCUAAGAAGCACCAAUUUGUAAUAUAAACACUGAUUAUGCCAGGAGGAGAAGCCUAAAUCCAUUUAGAUGUUGCUCAUCAAAGAUCUCUAUGGUCAAGGUCUAUGGUCUAUAUACAGUGUCUGGAAAGCUGGGCUUGAAUAUGUGUAGGAACUAAAUAGGCCAUUUUUACACCCUAGUUUUCGAUGUCCUACAUCGUAACUCCUACAGUGCAUUUAGUAACUUGUGUGAAAGUCUCUCUAGAAAGUACUGUCUUCUGUCUCUGAAAAUGCAUUUGCAGCCUCUGGCAGGUGCCCUGGAGAAACAUGUAAAUGUGGCACUGAGGGACAUGGUUAGUGGGUAUGGUGGGGAUGGGUUGACAGUUGGAUUAGACUACUUUAGUGGUCUUUUCCAACCUAAAUGAUUCAGUUAUUCUUUGCAGCCACAUAUGGUCAAGACCUGGAGAAAUCUCUUCUAGGUCAGAGAAGUGGACUGCUAUUACCUCAGUGGACUCAUUUCCUGAGGAUACUAACAGAGAGUAUUUACAUUACCAAACAUUGUGAUGACAAGCAUCUUGGGAUCUUGCAAGGCUGUGUUGUUAAUUGAGGAAAUUAAAGCGCAGGAAGGUUAGAAGCCAACUUCAUCCAAGUUGGGCAGUUGAAGGGUGACUGGGACUGGACUCCCCCAUCAUUCCACAGACAUUUCUGCCCAUUGUGGUACAGAAGAACAUAGGGAUUUUCUUGCAGCGGGUCCAGUGCUUGAGUCAUGGAAGGAACAGAAAUUGAAUUCAGUCUUCAUAUUUAAACUGAAAUUGACAAUUUUCUCAAGCGAUUGAUGUCACAGUUUGGACAAGAUACUUGAGUGGAAAGGAGUGGCUAAUUCAGGCAUCUUCUGGCUGAUCAUGUAGCCCAGGAUGGCCAGCAAAACAGCAUGUGCUUCUCCUGGCUUAGCAACAAGUAAAACAAAUGGGAGAUUGUAGAAGGUGAGGAAACACUGGAGAUCAGAGUCGGGCUGGUGGAGCUGGAGGUAUCCCAGGGACAUGCAGACAGCAGUGAGAAGAGGUGGAACAUGAUAAGUGACAUGGUAGAGCUGCUGGUUCUGCUGUGGGAUGGUUGCAAAGGACAGGGCAGACAUAGUCAUAAUAUCAGCUGUGCAAUGAGAUCAGGCAGUGAUUGCAGUGCAAUGCUUCGAAUGAGGGCAGCUAAUAUUUAGCACCUUCCCUUGCUGAAGUUCUCACUGCUGAUACUUGGAUAUCUGUUCAGGUCAGCUUGUGCAUUGAGAGAUUUAAUAUCAAACGCAGUGUGAAAUUCAAUCUCUCCUGUUAGACGAGCCCUGACAAUGGAGCUGCCAUGUGCUUGGUGGGUCAUGUCAGCAUUAAUUUACUGCCCUGGGGUGCUGUGGAAAUGUCUCAAGACUGUCACACUCCCACACUGCUGAGCUCUUGGCUUACACACAGUGACCAGGCAGAAGGUAAUCACAGAGACGGGGCCUUUUAGAGGGGAAGAAAGCAUUCAAAAGCAGACACAAACACCCUCCAGUAUUAUUAGACCUGUUUGAAUGUAUGUGGAAUGAAAUGCUACUGACAACACAGAAAGCCACCAAAUGACAAAAAUCAGACAUGGUGAAAGAGAAAUGCAUGGGGCAAUCAAGGAAAAGAGGAGGGAGGGAAGAAGUAUUAUCUUUAAUUUAUAAUCAGGGGAGACUGAAAGUUUUAGAAACGUCCGAUGAUCCCCCUCCCACAAGUGUCAAAUCCACUUAGACUGAAACAGAGGAGGUUAACUUAUUCUGCCUCUUUUAAAGCACACAAAAAACUUUAAUGUAUUUUGAUAGAAACAAUAAUUUUAAAAGAGGAAAUAAUCAGUAUUUUCUUUCAGUGAGCUCUUCUUAUGCCCUAACUCAGGAAUUACUGGUGCUUUUUUGAUUCAAAGUGUUCUUCCCACAGCUCACAGCACCUGUGAAGUUAAUUCUGCUAUUUUAGUUCCAUUUCCUGCUGAACAUUUUGUUUCAUAUAUUUCAAACAGUGCAAGCAAAGAGACCCUGUGUUGCUUGUAGCAAAUGAAGUUAAAGAACUUAGUACUAAAAUAACCGGACACUAUAACUAAAGAUGGAAUGCAGAUUCUGUAUGAUGCAUUUGGUAGGCUUCAUAGAGUUAGUUUCUCUUACACUGUGUAAGCUCAAAGACCUAAGGGGAUUUUCCUAUCCCCACACUGCCCCUGUCUUUGAAGAUGUCUCAUUUUGAGCUCAGUUCUUUGACACAUAGACUGAAAGUCUGUGUAGUUUUCUAUCACAGAUUAGCGAUCUACAUGGGAAAUCAGACUUAAAUGGGCUGAAGACUGAGAAAAUCUUUCUUUCUAAAUAGUACAAAGGCCAAAUACUCAUUAAAAUAAUGUAUAUGCAGAAAAGAAGGUAGUGAAAUAAUGUAAUAAGGGUGAUGAGCCACCUGUAAGUUUAUUGAGUCGUCUAAAGUACAUAGUCCUUGUGAUAGGUGUUCCAGACAGGUAGUCCAGCUUCCAUUCUCUUCUGUCAAUCAAGAUCAUGAGGUCUAGCUCAAAGGCAAUCUGGCUGGCACGUAGCUGGGGUGCUCUCUUGACCCUAGUCCCCUGAAUGUGUGGGUAACCUGCUGGACACAGACGUUGCUCUCCAGAGCAAUUCCCCAAACCCAGUGCUACAGGAUGUCUCCAGCCAUGAAGAAUUGACUCAGAGGAACAGCAGUACUCUGCAGCUGACUGAUACUAACUGCACUACAAUGUCGUUAUGACCCUAUCUGAUGUCCUCCUAAAAUUUUCAAUAGCGUGACUUUCUGACUUUCCCAAGAUUUCAAGGGAAACCUGUGGCCCUAAGGAUUCCAUUCUGGAGUGGAGUCUUAUGUUAGUCUCUAGCUUACUUGAAAUCUCAAAAAUAUCAUGCAUCUCACUGAUGGUCCUGGUGUGAACUUAUACUGGUACAGCCAUAGGAAAUUGUCUCACUGUCUUUAUCCACAUUUAAGUAUUUGCCUUCAACCUAAGCUAGUCGUAUAUAAUCCUGUUAUAUGAGGGCAGACACCCCCAGAUGACAAAUCAUCCUAACCUAAAAGAAAUAUUUUAGCUGCUGCCAGUCUUUCCCAUGGGCUGCAGAUAGAUUGGAUAACUGGUUCAGGCUAGAAAGCUAAGGAUGACUGAACUAAAUCCUAGCUUAAGCCACAGAUUUUUAGUCUUCCCACCAAAGCUGCUUUGGCUAGGUGAAAACAGCACACAUGUGCACUGAAUACUUGUGACUGCUUUCUGGAUAGCUAUGAGAUGUGCUUCUAGUUCUCUGAGAUGAAGCAACUUUUAGAUGAGAAGGCUAUAUCCAAGGCUGCUAUUCCAGCUUUCCAUUUCUGCCACAAACAGUGGAGCGACUGUACUUUUGGUUAUGAGAUGCCAUAAUUCUCAUUUUCUGGGCUAUGUUACUGGGGAAGAGGUUUAUGGAGAAGGUGUGCCUCGCUCUCUUUUGGCACCUGGUGCUGUCAGGGCUGGGAAUGGUCUGAUCCUUGUUAUCAGAGUGUUCCAUGGCCUCACAAAUUACUGAGUAAAAUUCUAUAGUUCAUGAAGGAAGUAAUACCAAACAAUCAUAAAGUCUAUACUGCCUGUUAUAGAUACUUUUCCUCCUUAUAUAAGCUUUACAUCUGUUUGGUCCUUCUAACUUUAUGUAAUUUGGACCUUCUGAAACCAUGCUUUUCAAGUCAUUGCUAUGCAAAACCUAGGAGUCACUUCUAAUGAGAGUUUACUUGAAGGAUCAAGGUCCAGUGAAAACAAGCUUUUGCAUGCAGGAUCAAGAAAGUUAUAGAAAAAGUAAUGUGGGCCAUAAGGCUAUGAGGGAUCAUUGUGUUCUGUACUCCUGUACUGUGUAUAAAAUAACUUUCCCAUGUGAGUGCCUUCAGCCCUCUAGUUUUCUACUGGCCUUAAAUAGCAUUCCUGCCUCUCCCCCACCUCCUAUUUUGUUGUUUGCACCAUUCAAAUCCCAGUGCCCUGAUGUGGCACUUUUGCAUGUAGUUCACAGCUGAACUGGAGGUGAAGUUGUAACCCAGUGCAUGGAGAGCUGACCCACAGCCAUCUCUGCAACUCUCCAAAUACCUUCUCCCUCUUCCUUUCCCCUCCCAUUAUGUUGUGCAUGGAAAGGUUUUGUCAUGGAGAGCAUUUGUGAGCAGGAAGGAAGCAAGGAAUGCAGGCCAGGAGCCAUCGCAGCCACCUGCUUGGACAGUCACAUCAAAGGGCAACCAACCAACGCCCCAGCACACAGUGACACAAACUGAGCACAUCUGCAAUCCAUGAUUGCCCACUCUUUGGGGCUAAAGACAGAGGACAUCGCCUGCACUGUAUCUGACCCUGGAGCUGGGAACAAUGUCAGCCAUAGGGUAGUGCCAUGCCAAUAGUGUGCUGAAUGUGCUCUGCAUUGCAUUACAACUGAGGCAUGCCAUUCUUCCCACAUACAUCACCGUACCCACCCAAUUAUAACAGGCCUUGGCAGCUCGCCCUGCAGCUUCAACAUUUGCAUUUUUAUCCUGAAUUAAACUCCAGUCCAAACUCUUCUAGUAUUCCUUUUCAUUAUUCCUAUUUGGAAGAGGAGUGCCCUAAUGGUAUAACACCUGACUCCUGGAAAGACUCCUAAACAAGUGUUGGCACAACAAAAGUGAUGUGGGCUUGUUGCUCCUGGUUUAACCCACACUGCACAGGUUAAGACCAGCAAUGAAAAUACUCUGACAGAGACAUUAACUCAUGAUAACAACUUCAGUACUAUGCCAGGCACUCUGAAGGAGUACUUUUCUGGCUGCGCCUAUGCACUGAUGUUCAGGCCAUGGAUUUCAUAGUGCAAAACCAGAUUUUCAGAAGAGAACAGUCACUUGCAAGGAGAGGGAUGAAAGGCUGCUUAUGGGGGAAUGUGACAGAAAGGGAGUGGAGGAUUCUGGAUCCUCCUGGGGACACAGCAAAAGGGACAUUGUCACUCCUGAGGAAAGACCGGACAGACUUGAACUCCUAAGAUUCUUUCAUGUACUGGUCACACUUGCCAUUAACCACGCAGAUUUUAACUUUGCCUUUAUGGUUGAUUAUUUCAACAUUGCCAUUACUGACUUUGUAUGGGAAGUGUAACCUAAGUCUGGGACCCACCUCAACAUCCUUUCUGUUUGGGGGAUGCUUGGAUAGAGCUCAGCAAUUUAAUGUGUAGGAAUAUAAGAAAAAUGGCCAAUGUUACCGGAAUGUUGUACUCCAUGCCUUUAUGGACAUCACAUUGAUCAACACUGGAUCUGCAUUACAAAAUAAAAGUGGUAAGGAAAUGAGAAAUGUAAAACAGAAAUCCCUCAGGAAAUACUGACUGCUGUGUAUGUUCAAAAUACAAGAGAGAGAUGUCUCUUAACGAAAUCAGUGUAUGCAUUUAUUCAAAAUAAGACUAAAUAAACUGAAAAAGUUCAUUCUUUGUGUUAGGGUAUUUUAACUGGAGGGGCUUACUCUUAUGUUGAGGAUAGACUGUUUCUACAAGAUCUUCUCCUGAGGUGUGUUGAAUGGUGAUACCCACUACAAUAACUGAUACUCACCAUGGUCUAGGGUUCCAGAAAGACGUGACUGAGCUGUGACAUGACCUGUAUAUAUUCUGAAAGAAAAUUUAUUUAGAACUGAACUGAACUAAGACAUGAACUAAGAGAAGGACUUGUGCUACCUGAGGGGCUGGUGAAUGCCAUAUGAGCAAAGGGUGAAGGGCACUGCAUGUCAAAUGAGAGCAUCAUGAAUUUGUAAGAGCCUGUUUGUAUGAGCUGGGUGUGUUUGAGUUACAAGAUGCAACAUUUGGCUCUGGAUCUAAAGGUAAUUGUUUAUUGCAUGUUUUAUGACUGUUUACAAAAGUGGUUUGAAGAAAAUAAUGGAAUAAAUAAGAUGAUGUAUUUCCCCAAGUCUUCAAUCCAUUAACUUGUAGCUAGACUAGAAAUUUAAGUCAUUGUUAUUUA